UUAGCAUGUAUUAAUACUGCGGGUACGCGAUCUGUGCUGCCUGCACGAUCCGACGUGCGCAAGAUGUCCGCGCAUGCGCAGAUGAUGAUCCUGUUUUACACCGCCGCUGUGCUCCGUUGGAUGCCACCAUGGUGACUGACGCAGCAGAGUAAAG